CAGUCGCCGCGGUAAUACAGAGGGUGCGAGCGUUAAUCGGAUUUACUGGGCGUAAAGCGUGUGUAGGUUGUUGUUCAAGUCAGUUGUGAAAUCCCUGGGCUCAACCUGGGAACUGCUUCUGAGACUGAACGACUAGAGUACGGUAGAGGGUGGUGGAAUUUCCGGUGUAGCGGUGAAAUGCGUAGAUAUCGGAAGGAACAUCAAUGGCGAAGGCAGCCACCUGGGCCUGUACUGACACUGAGACACGAAAGCGUGGGGAUCAAACAGGAUUAGAUACCCCUGUAGUCCCUGUCUCUUAUAC
rnacentral:rRNA from 1 species